UACCAGCACCCCGAGUGGUCGGGACGAUUAUUGGGCCUAAAGCGUCCGUAGCCGGUCAUGCAAGUCCUCCGUUAAAUCCACCUGCUUAACAGAUGGGCUGCGGAAGAUACUAUAGAGCUAGGAGGCGGGAGAGGCAAGCGGUACUCGAUGGGUAGGGGUAAAAUCCGUUGAUCCAUUGAAGACCACCAGUGGCGAAGGCGGCUUGCCAGAACGCGCUCGACGGUGAGGGAUGAAAGCUGGGGGAGCAAACCGG
rnacentral:rRNA from 1 species